ensembl:lncRNA
AACUUCCUGGUUCUCACCAGCAGCAAAACACUCCCACUUUACAGACAAAAUUCUCUAAAGUCAGGAACAGAGACAAGAGAGAGCCUUGCUUUGGAGACUGGAGUUCACUGGUGGAGUUCUGGCCAGAUGACCCUGGUCUUUCCAGGAGAGAGAAGGGCCUGUGUUCCCUAAAUUGCGGUCGGCAUCCACACUGUGAAGCUGGAACCUCCUCCUUCCAGGCUGUUCUACACCUCAAUGGUCUCCAGGUGUCACAGCAAGGUGUGGUGUGUGGGGCUGGGCCCGGCUCACCCACAGGUGGUUGCCAAUCAGAACCAUCUGAGGAGCUACAGCAAGGCUCUCCCAGGGGCCUCACGAUGGAUGAGGCAGUGCAUUGGCCCUGGGGUCAAAAGACAUGGUAAUCCUUCCAUCACAGCAACACCAGGAAGGGCAUGCAGACAGAGCCCACUGCCAGAAAAAAAAAAAAAAGUCUCUUUCUGAGCCUCUUGUGAACAUAUACAAAGUCCAAAAAAACAUACAAAACUUUCCUUCUCUUUCCCUAUCAGGACAUGAGUCAGUUAAACAGUCCCUUCUAUUUCUUUUUCUACUUCUUUGCCUUCCUUUCCUGUCCUGGCUCCCUCCUGCUGCUGCACCUCAUGGGCAAGGCAUUAAUCCAGGACAGACAGACAACUCCUGGCUCCACUCAGGGAGGCAAAUGCAGAUC